UACGGAGGGGGCUAGCGUUGUCCGAAGUUACUGGGCGUAAAGCGCGCGUAGGCGGGUUGGUAAGUCCGCUGUGAAAGCCCGGGGCUCAACCCCGGGUCGGCCGUGCGAACUGCUGGGCUGGAGCACUGUAGAGGCAGGUGGAAUUCCGGGUGUAGCGGUGGAAUGCGUAGAGAUCCGGAAGAACACCGGUGGCGAAGGCGGCCUGCUGGGCAGUAGCUGACGCUGAUGCGCGACAGCGUGGGGAGCAAACAGG
rnacentral:rRNA from 1 species